rnacentral:lncRNA from 13 species
ACUAGUUCUAGUAUUGUUGUCAAUAGGAGACAGUAGAGUGGUCAUAGACACUAGUUAUAGUAUUGUUGUCAAUAGGAGACAGUAGAGUGGUCAUAGACACUAGUUAUAGUAUUGUUGUCAGUAGAGAGGAGACAGUAGAGUGGUCAUAGACACUAGUUAUAGUAUUGUUGUCAGUAGAGAGGAGACAGUAGAGUGGUCAUAGACACUAGUUAUAGUAUUGUUGUCAAUAGGAGACAGAGUGGUCAUAGACACUAGUUAUAGUAUGGUUGUCAAUAGGAGACAGUAGAGUGGUCCAUAGACACUAGUUCUAGUAUGGUUGUCAGUAGGAGACAGUAGAGUGGUCAUAGACACUAGUUAUAGUAUUGUUGU